rnacentral:rRNA from 1 species
UACGAAGGGGGCUAGCGUUGUUCGGAAUCACUGGGCGUAAAGCGCACGUAGGCGGAUCUUUAAGUCAGGGGUGAAAUCCCGAGGCUCAACCUCGGAACUGCCUUUGAUACUGGGGAUCUCGAGUCCGGGAGAGGUGAGUGGAACUGCGAGUGUAGAGGUGAAAUGCGUAGAGAUCCGGAAGAACACCGGUGGCGAAGGCGGCCUGCUGGGCUAUGGCUGACACUGAGGCGCGACAGCGUGGGGAGCAAACAGG